CGUGGGUAACCUGCCUUAUAGUGGGGGAUAGCCUUUCGAAAGGAAGAUUAAUACCGCAUAAGAUUGUAGUAUCGCAUGAUAUAGCAAUUAAAAGGAGCAAUCCGCUAUAAGAUGGACCCGCGUCGCAUUAGCUAGUUGGUGAGGUAAUGGCUCACCAAGGCGACGAUGCGUAGCCGACCUGAGAGGGUGAUCGGCCACAUUGGGACUGAGACACGGCCCAGACUCCUACGGGAGGCAGCAUG
rnacentral:rRNA from 1 species